UAAUACAUCUAAGGCUCUGGUCUGAGCCAUUCAUUUUUUUUCUUUCUAAGAAUUUCAAAUGCUUUCUUAGUAUGCUUACCUUGACAUACUCACUGCCGAUCUUUACUAAGUGACUGGAAUUUGGCAGAAUCUCCCACAGUAGAAGCAGUGUAGUGGUAUAUGGAUUAAAGGGUCCAAGAUCCAGAUACCCAAGAGCCUGGAAAGCAAUAAGGAGAUUGGGACAUUUUGAAGUCCCUCAAGCUUGUUGAGUGUAUAUGUGCUUUGGUUUGAUCAGCAGCUCUGAUUGAUAACUUGAGAUAUGCCAGAGCUUGCUGAGGUUGAUGCGGCUGGUCUUCAUUUCUACAACAACUGCUAUCAGGUUAAG